GGUCCUAGUGACAUACAAUCCGUUGCUGGUUGGAUUAAACCUUUAUUGUUUCUAAAUGCUGAGGAAGUUUAGAUGGCUACCAAACUCAAAAGAGCACUCAUCAUGUCUGCUAGUUCCACAGUUUUUUGUUCACAAAACUGGGGCUCAAUUACAUGAAAACAGUUGACAUGUGUUGGUUGUUUCGUCUCAUCGCCCGUAAAGCAAGUUAGAAUGACUGAACGAGAAAUGUGCUUUGCCAAUAGUCUAUUUUAAUAUGUUUUGUGGUUUAUUUUAUUUUACUAGAUAUUUUUGCAUCGGAGGGAAGACAUUGUAACGCUGUCAAUAUGUGUAUUAAUUCUCAAUGUUUUUUAGUAUAAACUGUCUGUCUUUUGCAUUGAUUUUGCACUGGAAUUUUUAUAUGCACUGCUAAAUAGUUUCUCAUACUUGUAAGUGACUAGUAAAAUUAGUCUCAUUAAAUUGCCAAAAGUUGAAUUAAGAUCUGCUCUCGCUGCGAAAAUAAAACAGAAAAGCUUGCAAGAGCAAACUGCAUUUUUACAAGACAAUUCACGUAUAUUUACAUGUAAUGAAAACACUCAUUAUGAAUAAGUACACACGUUUAUAAUUGC